rnacentral:lncRNA from 1 species
GUGGAAGGCCUACAAAGAGAUGUUCAAAGCAUCUCUCGCUUAUCAACUUAAUAUUCGUUUUGUUGAGGGAGUAGUGUUGGGCUACAUCAAUUUCAUUUUAAUCUAAUUAAAAGAACUUGGGCCUAUCACAACCAUUGGUCCAAGUUUAUAUGGAUUAGUAGUAUAUAAUACUCCCACUAUUUUGAUGAAACAAGCGAGACUAUAUGGAACUACUAACAAAUGCAUUGCAUCCUCAUAUGGACUAUAUAGUCAUCUUAGGUCUUAGGAUGAUUAUGAACCGUUUGAUUUGAUCCAACACGAGCCUUGUCUUAGACCUUGUGUCUAAGGUAGGUAGUUGUUGAUUUUAGUUACGCGUUUAAUCUAAUUAAACCGUUAUUUCCUAUUGGGCGUUG